UACGAAGGGGGCUAGCGUUGUUCGGAAUUACUGGGCGAAAGCGCACGUAGGCGGAUAUUUAAGUCAGGGGUGAAAUCCCAGAGCUCAACUCUGGAACUGCCUUUGAUACUGGGUAUCUUGAGUAUGGAAGAGGUAAGUGGAAUUGCGAGUGUAGAGGUGAAAUUCGUAGAUAUUCGCAGGAACACCAGUGGCGAAGGCGGCUUACUGGCCCAUACUGACGCUGAGGUGGCGAAAGCGUGGGGAGCAAA
rnacentral:rRNA from 1 species